GGUUCUAUGGUGUAGUGGUUAGCACGUCAGGUUUUGACCCUGGAAUCCCCGGUUCGAACCCGGGUAGGACCU